AAGGGGAAAACGGNGGUGGGCGNAAGGCGGCCCCCCUUGGACGNAAGACUGACGCUCAGGUUGCGAAAGCGUGGGGAGCNAAACAUUGUAUAAGAUNACCCUGGUAGNUCCACGCCGNUAAACGAUGUCCACUUGGAGGUUGUGCCCUUGAGGCGUGGCUUCCGGAGCUAACGCGNUUAAGUCGACCGCCUGGGGAGUACGGNCCGCAAGGNUUAAAACUCNAAAUGAAUUGACGGGGGCCCGCACAAGCNGGUGGAGCAUGUGGNUUUAAUUCGAUGCAACGCGAAGAACCUUACCUGGUCNUUGACAUCCACGGAAGUUUUCAGAGAUGAGAAUGUGCCUUCGGGAACCGUGAGACAGGUGCUGCAUGGCUGUCGUCAGCUCGUGUUGUGAAAUGUUGGGUUAAGUCCCGCAACGAGCGCAACCCUUAUCCUUUGUUGCCAGCGGUCCGGCCGGGAACUCAAAGGAGACUGCCAGUGAUAAACUGGAGGAAGGUGGGGAUGACGUCAAGUCAUCAUGGCCCUUACGACCAGGGCUACACACGUGCUACAAUGGCGCAUACAAAGAGAAGCGACCUCGCGAGAGCAAGCGGACCUCAUAAAGUGCGUCGUAGUCCGGAUUGGAGUCUGCAACUCGACUCCAUUGAAGUCGGAAUCGCUAGUAAUCGUGGAUCAGAUUGCCACGGUGAAUACGUUCCCGGGUCUUUGUACACACCGCCCCGUCACACCAUGGGAAAUGGGUUGGCAAAAGAAAUAAGUAGCUUAACCUUCCGGGAGGGCGCUUACCACUUUGGUGAUUCAUGACUGGGGUGAAGUCGUAACAAGGUAANCCNA
rnacentral:rRNA from 1 species